GUUUAUGGCCAUAUCGCAUUGAAAACAUCGGUUCUCACUGGAUCACCAGAGUUUAGUGACAUUGAGCCUAGUUAGUACUGAGAUGGGGAGUGCUUGGGAAACAUUGGUACUGGAAACA
rnacentral:rRNA from 1 species